UUGAAUUCUUUUUCAGUGUUGCUUUCUUCUUUGAAAUUUUGUUCCCUUUACGGUUUGGAAGACUUCCAUUCGUUUCAAAUCUCUCCACCUCUUUCAAAGAUCGGAGAGUAAUUUUUUUCACUUUAUGAAUAUAGAUCUACAAAACAACAAUUUCAUUAUGAAAUCACUCGUGUCAAUAAAACAAGUAGAGUUUUCUACAAAUAAAGAAAACAUGUCACAAACAAUGAUAAAUAGGGAGUGCAGGAGGUUGUGGGUUCGAGUUCCACCAUCAACAAAAUAGAGAGUUAUAAGGUGGUUAGAUGGUAGGAUGUUGAGGGUGGAGUCUCACCCACAACAAAAUAUUAACAUAAUAACAACUAACAUACUAACAAUUGCGGAUGAAAAAAAAUUUGAGUUCAUACCUUAUAUAUUUUCCCAUUUUUUCUUGGCAUGGGUCGAAUGAUCCAAUGUUCGAUCCCUUCAGGUAGUUUAAUAGGGACUGGAUUUUCAUUCUAAAUACAUAGCACAAAAAAAACCAUAGAGUGAUGUACAUUUCAAAAGAUAUUGACAAUAAUCAUAAUAUACAACACAAGUUUAAUCUAACAAAUGAAGUCAUUGUUAUCAAGAAUUCUUACAACAAAUAUAAAGCCAACAAGGUGUUGUACUUUUUGGUCACUGGAAAAUGAUUCAUUUAUUGUAUAUAUGCAACUUACAUUCAACAAAACUAAUUAAGAAUUAAAUACAUUUAAGGAGUUCUAUAUAUGGUCUUAUCUAUAAUUGAAUUCACAUAAACGAGACACAUGUUUACACGAAAAGCUCUUAUAGGUUAAGGAAAAAUACUUAUCGACAACUCUUGCAAGAUAUGAAAAUUGAAAAGGAUGAUACAUGCUUUUAGAAGCAACCAUAUAAAAGAUAGAAGCUUAAUAGUAGAAUGUUGCUUUAACAUGUUAUUCAAUCUAUUUGUCUCCUUAAUAACAACAAUGUAAUAUCUAUAUACUAUCGGUAUAGUAUAAAAAUUUAUAUACAGUCAAUACAUUAUUCACCAUUCAUUUCUACUACUUUUUUUGAAGAGUCGAUGAUGAUUAAACAUUAAAAAAAUUAUCUUUUGCUGAUAAAAAAAAUAUAAUGUGUGUUUCUCUAAAUUAGUUUGAUGUGUUUUAAUGUGUGUUUUUGUGAGCUAACCCUCUCUUCAGUAUUAGAAUGAUCUCCCAUAUAGGAUUUAUUUUUCUUGUAUCUUUUUUUAUAGGUUUUUGUAUUAAUGUAACCCAAAUAUAAUAUAGUACUUGCUUUAUAAAAAAUAAAUAUUUUGCUAUGAUAGUUGUAAAUGACUUUGUCUAUAAUUUUGGUAGUUAUUAAUUAUAGAUUAACAAUCAAUAAUAAAUUAGGAGGUAGAGUACAUACUAACUUUAUUAAAAGAUAACAAUUUUCUAUCUUUGGUUAUAAAUUAGGUUAAGAUCUAUGAAAAAUAUAUAUUAUAGGUUAAGAACUAUAGACAAAGUAAGUCAGAACCUCAGCAAAAUUUGUAUGUGGUCUCUUUUAGAAUUACAUGAUCACUAUGUUAAGGUUCUAAUAAGACUUAAGUGGAUCUAGAUCCUUUCAUUUUAUUCACUAGCAAGAUAGAACUUUAUAAUAAGAGUUAGAAAGAUACAAACUGUAUUUAGAGAAAUUAGGUAUCAAUUGUAGAAUGACCCAUAAUAUCAUCCAAAUUUGAUUUUUGUAUGCUAAAUUGAACAGUGCAACAAUACUUUUUGUACUAAGAAAACUCAAAUCUUUACAGAAAAAUCACUAAAAAAUUAUAUGAUAAUUAUUUUGCAAGGAAACGAAAUGCAAAAAAUGAGAUAGAAACCCCUUACCUUUGGACUUGACUUUUUCA
rnacentral:lncRNA from 1 species